CUUCCAGCUGGACAGUCUCUUGUGCCGGCUCUAGGGAGCCCUACCGAAGCCCUCCAGCAGGAGAAUAACACUCUGUCUUGGGGAUAUUCCCAGGAAGUGCACCCAGCCGUAUGCUCCUGGCAGUAGCUGACUGUGCUCUGCCACUGAAACUUGAAGAAGAGCAGUGUGUACUCAGGACUCCAGGGCUGACCCCCUCCGGAGCAAAGCAGGCUCAGAUUUUCAUAGGCUAAACAAGUUCUGAUUUCUCCCUGGGUCAGAGCUAAAACUCAGAACUGCUUGACUUCAUUAGAAGCAAGAGCAUUCAGUCAAUUUCUCAUCCUCUGCCUGGAAAAGCAAGAAGGACCCCAAACAACAUAAACAGCAAAGAGAAAAUCAGCAGCAAGUUCACUUCGUAGAAUACAGGUCUGUUGCAAUAAUGUGUUUCACUCACUGAUUAUAAGAAACAUUAAUAACCUGAAGUCUUACUUGUUACAAAGACAUUAAAUCUAAAAGUAUAUGACCUAAGAAAAAUGUUUUGCUUAAAAUAGAUUUCUUAUCCUUUA